rnacentral:rRNA from 1 species
AACCUCCGCAAUGUGAGAAAUCGCGACGGGGGGAUCCCAAGUGCCAUUCUUAACGGGAUGGCUUUUCAUUAGUGUAAAGAGCUUUUGGAAUAAGAGCUGGGCAAGACCGGUGCCAGCCGCCGCGGUAACACCGGCAGCUCUAGUGGUAGCAGUUUUUAUUGGGCCUAAAGCGUCCGUAGCCGGUUUAAUAAGUCUCUGGUGAAAUCCUGUAGCUUAACUGUGGGAAUUGCUGGAGAUACUAUUAGACUUGAGACCGGGAGAGGUUAGAGGUACUCCCAGGGUAGAGGUGAAAUUCUGUAAUCCUGGGAGGACCGCCUGUUGCGAAGGCGUCUAACUGGAACGGUUCUGACGGUGAGGGACGAAAGUUAGGGGCGCGAACCGGAUUAGAUACCCGGGUAGUCCUAACCGUAAACGAUGCGGACUUGGUGUUGGGGUGGCUUUGAGCUGCUCCAGUGCCGAAGGGAAGCUGUUAAGUCCGCCGCCUGGGAAGUACGGUCGCAAGACUGAAACUUAAAGGAAUU